rnacentral:misc_RNA from 1 species
GAGAGCAAAAAGUAUAUGGAGAAGUGGCUCUCUUCGCUCCAGAACAGCUGACAUUUAGUGCAACCAAUAGUUGCACGGAGGCCUUUCUUUAGCUGCUCUUACGGCUGCAGGAUCCUCCGGAAGAAUCUGCCCUGUUGAUUUAACAUGGAAAUAUUUUGUAUAAAGAUUAAAGAUAUAGCGGAAGAUAUAAAAGUGAAAAGACCACUUCUCCAUAUACUUUUUGCUCUCAU